AAAUUGAAGAGUUUGAUCAUGGCUCAGAUUGAACGCUGGCGGCAGGCCUAACACAUGCAAGUCGAACGGUAACAGGAAUCAGCUUGCUGAUUCGCUGACGAGUGGCGGACGGGUGAGUAAUGUCUGGGAAACUGCCUGAUGGAGGGGGAUAACUACUGGAAACGGUAGCUAAUACCGCAUAACGUCGCAAGACCAAAGAGGGGGACCUUCGGGCCUCUUGCCAUCGGAUGUGCCCAGAUGGGAUUAGCUUGUUGGUGGGGUAACGGCUCACCAAGGCGACGAUCCCUAGCUGGUCUGAGAGGAUGACCAGCCACACUGGAACUGAGACACGGUCCAGACUCCUACGGGAGGCAGCAGUGGGGAAUAUUGCAC
rnacentral:rRNA from 1 species